rnacentral:rRNA from 1 species
UACGUAGGGUGCGAGCGUUGUUCGGAAUUACUGGGCGUAAAGGGCGCGUAGGCGGUCUUCUAAGUCUUGUGUGAAAUCCCUCGGCUCAACUGAGGAACUGCACGGGAUACUGGAAGACUUGAGUUCGGGAGAGGGAAGCGGAAUUCCGGGUGUAGCGGUGAAAUGCGUAGAUAUCCGGAGGAACACCGGUGGCGAAGGCGGCUUCCUGGACCGAUUACUGACGCUGAGGCGCGAAAGCUAGGGGAGCAAACGGG